GGUGGGAUAGCUGGGUCAAAAGCUGAUUCCAUUCCAAGUUUUCUAAGGAAUCUCCAUACUGCUUUCCAGAUUGGCUGUACCAAUUUGCAGUCCCACCAGCAAU
rnacentral:pre_miRNA from 1 species